rnacentral:misc_RNA from 1 species
GACUACAGAGUACUAUAGCUUGAAUUCUUUUGAGCAACAAUUUCCAAAUCAAGAGAAUUUAGAAGACUCUCGGCUGUAUCAUUAUGCAUUGUUUUCAGACAAUGUUCUGGCUGCAGCAGUUGUUGUGAAUCCACUGUUACCCAUGCUAAGGACCCUUCAAAACAUGUUUUUCACAUUGUUACUGAUAGGCUUAAUUAUGCAGCAAUGAGAAUGUGGUUUCUAGUGAAUCAGCCAGGCAAAGCUACUAUUCAGGUUCAGAAUAUUGAAGAAUUGACAUGGUUAAAUUCAAGUUAUAGUCCUGUUCUCAAGCAGCUGGGUUCUCCUUCAAUGAUAGAUUAUUACUUUAGGGCACAUCGUACUAACUCUGAUAAUAAUUUGAAGUACCGAAACCCAAAGUACUUAUCUAUCCUAAACCAUCUACGAUUUUACCUGCCUGAGAACAGGACUAUAACUUGAAUUUAAC